rnacentral:rRNA from 1 species
AUUGAACGCUGGCGGCAUGCCUUACAUAUGCAAGUCGAACGGUAACGGGCCUUCGGGUGCCGACGAGUGGCGAACGGGUGCGUAAUACAUCGGAACGUGCCCGAUCGUGGGGGAUAACGAGGCGAAAGCUUUGCUAAUACCGCAUACGAUCUACGGAUGAAAGCAGGGGACCGCAAGGCCUUGCGCGGACGGAGCGGCCGAUGGCAGAUUAGGUAGUUGGUGGGAUAAAAGCUUACCAAGCCGACGAUCUGUAGCUGGUCUGAGAGGAUGAUCAGCCACACUGGGACUGAGACACGGCCCAGACUCCUACGGGAGGCAGCAGUGGGGAAUUUUGGACAAUGGGCGCAAGCCUGAUCCAGCCAUGCCGCGUGCAGGAUGAAGGCCUUCGGGUUGUAAACUGCUUUUGUACGGAACGAAAAGCCUUCUUUUAAUACAGGAGGGUCAUGACGGUACCGUAAGAAUAAGCACCGGCUAACUACGUG